rnacentral:rRNA from 1 species
CCUACGGGCGGCAGCAGUCGAGAAUCAUUCACAAUGGGGGAAACCCUGAUGGUGCGACGCCGCGUGGGGGAAUGAAGGUCUUCGGAUUGUAAACCCCUGUCAUGUGGGAGCAAAUUAAAAAGAUCGUACCACACGAGGAAGAGACGGCUAACUCUGUGCCAGCAGCCGCGGUAAUACAGAGGUCUCAAGCGUUGUUCGGAAUCACUGGGCGUAAAGCGUGCGUAGGCUGUUUCGUAAGUCGUGUGUGAAAGGCGCGGGCUCAACCCGCGGACGGCACAUGAUACUGCGAGACUAGAGUAAUGGAGGGGGAACCGGAAUUCUCGGUGUAGCAGUGAAAUGCGUAGAUAUCGAGAGGAACACUCGUGGCGAAGGCGGGUUCCUGGACAUUAACUGACGCUGAGGCACGAAGGCCAGGGGAGCGAAAGGGAUUAGAUACCCCAGUAGUC